rnacentral:rRNA from 1 species
AAUCGAACCCGGAGAUAGCUGGUUCUCCUCGAAAUAGCUUUAGGGCUAGCCUCAUGGAUCAUUGAUGGGGGUAGAGCACUGAAUGUGCGCGGGGGCCACAAAGCCUACCAAACGCUAUCAAACUUCGAAUACCAUACAAUGCAGACCAUGGGAGUCAGUCCGCGAGAGAUAAGUUCCGCGGGCAAAAGGGGAACACCCCAGAUCAACCGCUAAGGUCCCCAAGUUCACGUUAAGUGGAGAAGGAUGUGGAAUUGCACAGACAACCAGGAUGUUGGCUCAGAAGCAGCCACACAUUUAAAGAGUGCGUAAUAGCUCACUGGUCGAGUGAUUGUGCGCCGAAGAUGUCCGGGGCUAAACGUGACACCGAAGCGAUGGGUGCAUCUGAAGAAGAUGCGCGGUAGAGGAGCAAUGUGCAGAGGCAGAAGCCGUAUCGAGAGGCACGGUGGACACUGCACAAGAGAGAAUGCCGGUAUGAGUAGCGAGAGGCAUGCGAGAAACAUGCCCGUCGAAAGCCCAAGGUUUCCUGGGGAAGGUUCAUCCGCCCAGGGUAAGUCGGGGCCUAAGCCGAGGACGGAAGUCGUAGGCGAUGGACAGCAGGUGUAGAUUCCUGCACUACCGAUGGAAUGAAGCAGUGACACAGAAGGAUAACUCGAGCAGGGUGAUGGUCAACCCUGUGCAAGCAUCAAGGUUGGGUUGUAGUGAAGUACGCAAUCCUAUAAGCUGAGGUGUGAUGCGGACCGAAAUUUCAGUAGGGAAGCGAGUGAGUUCACGCUGGCGAGAAAAGCUGCUAGUACAUCCAAAGGUACCCGUACCGGAAACCGACGCAGGUGGGCGAGGAGAGAAUCCUGAGACGAACGGGAGAACCCUUGUUAAGGAACUCGGCAAAAUGACCCCGUAACUUCGGGAUAAGGGGUGCCUGCGAGAGCAGGCCGCAGAGAAUAGUCACAAGCGACUGUUUAGCAAAAACACAGGUAUCUGCGAAAGCGAGAGCUGACGUAUAGGUGCUGACACCUGCCCGGUGCUGGAAGGUUAAGGGAACAUGUUAGAGCAAUCGAAGCAUCGAACCGAAGCCCCAGUAAACGGCGGCCGUAACUAUAACGGUCCUAAGGUAGCGAAAUUCCUUGUCGGGUAAGUUCCGACCCGCACGAAUGGUGUAACGACUUGUGAGCUGUCUCAACAGGGGGCCCGGUGAAAUUGAAGUAUGGGUGAAGAUGCCCAUUACCCGCGACUGGACGGAGAGACCCCGUAGAGCUUUACUGCAGCCUGAUAUUGAGUUUCGGUAACUGAUGCACAGGAUAGGUGGGAGUCUGAGAGACAUGGGUUUCGGCUCAUGUGGAGACGGUGUUGGGAUACCACUCUUCGGUUACUGAAAUUCUAACAUAGCUCUGUGAAACCAGAGGAUGGACAGUGUCAGGUGGACAGUUUGACUGGGGCGGUCGCCUCCGAAAGAGUAACGGAGGCGCCCAAAGGUACCCUCAGAAUGGAUGGAAACCAUUCGAAGAGCGCAAAGGCAGAAGGGUGCCUGACUGCGAGAGUGACAACUCGAGCAGAGACGAAAGUCGGGCUUAGUGAUCCGGCGGUAUUGAGUGGAAAAGCCGUCGCUUAACGGAUAAAAGCUACCUCGGGGAUAACAGGCUGAUCUCCCCCAAGAGUCCACAUCGACGGGGAGGUUUGGCACCUCGAUGUCGGCUCAUCGCAUCCUGGGGCUGUAUUCGGUCCCAAGGGUUUGGCUGUUCGCCAAUUAAAGCGGCACGCGAGCUGGGUUCAGAACGUCGUGAGACAGUUCGGUCCCUAUCCAUCGUGGGCGUAGGAGUCAUGAGAGGAGCUGUUCCUAGUACGAGAGGACCGGAAUGGACGCACCACUGGUGCAACUGUUGUCGUGCCAACGGCAUAGCAGGGAAGCGAAGUGCGGAUGGGAUAAACGCUGAAGGCAUCUAAGCGUGAAGCCCACCUCAAGAAUAAGACUCCACAAUAGACCCCUGGAGGACUACCAGGUAGAUAGGUCAUCGGUGGAAGCGCUGUAAGGCGUGUAGCUUGAUGAUACUAAUCGGUCGAAAGCUUCAUUUA